UUUCGGCGACUCCAAUGCCACGGAGAUGUUUUGCAUCACCCUGACAGCUAUUGCGGCAACCACUAGCGCAGGUACUCGGCGGCUAGGUGAUUCAUCCCCUUUCAACCUUUCAGAUAAUGAUUGAUUGCACCCACCUUUGGUUUUUUCAACUAUACUAUUGUUCAGUUAUUACUUAUUAAUUAACAGUGCAAUUUUGUUCCUGCUACAUAAUACUUGGAAUCAUGAUUUCUGUCUUUGGCAGAUCUCUUUGAUGAGAGAAAUGAAUAGCUGAUAAAGCCUACAUUGGAGUUUUGUUGUACUGAAAUUUGUUCAGUCCAUGUGGAAUUUUCCCAAUGAUACAGCCAGGGCAAACACAGAAAGAUCCUACUUAAAGCACAAACAGAGGUUGGGAACAAACGUACAUGCCACCCGCCAUUGCCGCCACUACACUUCUAUCGGUUGGUGUUGGAGCUCAUGUGGUAAUACACUAGGGAUGACAUGGAGGCCAAGGAGAUUCGUUUCUCUUUCAGGUAUCACUGUGCUCCAUUUCGAAAAAAGGUAUCAUUGUGCUUCUUAUUUUCCUUAGUAUGUAGCUUCAAAAGGUAUUACCUGCUCUUUAUUGACUGGUUAAUAUGAAAUGUCUAAAUGAAUGAUGUUUAAUUAGUGUCUUGUGUCUAAUAGGGCAUGUGAGAACAACGUUAGCUGAACAAUUUUGUUUUAGUCUAGGAGUUUUCAACAUAGAGUCCAGAGCUGUUGUUUUUUAGAGAGAAUACAGAGUUGCGUGGUCAAGCUUUCGAAUAGUAAUUAAGAAAUUUCCUUAAGUAUUAUUUUCUCUGAUGUAAAAGAUCAUUUGGCAGAUUUUCCUCCAGCUGCCUAAAAAAUAGACUAUAUUGGUUCAAAGAGUGGUUUUGAAAAUUACUUCCUCAAAUAUUAGAAAACAGAUGGGAUGGUUUUUUCUUUCCAUCGCUUUUUUUUCCAGAUUAUGGAACAUGAAAGAAGGAGAUUAAUCGAUAUGCAAGCACCUAGACAAGAUGUGCAGAGAUGUUACCAAUGUCAGCUUCUCUGCGCACCCUGAGCAGCACCAACACGUGGAGUGUGUCUUCAGUGAGUCACCAUCCAAUCAGAGGCAGCGAACCCUCAUCGGUUCAGUACAGAUGUUACAAGUGUUUUUGAUUUUUACUCUCCUCAUGAGUUGUGCGUCAUGGAGAUUUAUAGAGUAGUGGUUAGUGAACCCUACCUGCCUUCUUUGAUAAUGUGAUGUAGGAUUUUACAUAGAGAGAGGUAAGCACUACUACAUAUAUGUGACAGUUUCAUGUCCCUGUCCUGCACUUAUAAGGAUUUCCGCAAUUGUUGAUAGCUGCAGCUAAAUACCCGUAACCGGAAAUUUUAGGAGACCUUUCUUCCGGUGUAGAGAAAAAUAGCUGGGUAGUACAUUUUAAGUUCCUAUAGGUACCAGAUUAGAGAUUUAAACACUGGAAAGAAACUCUAGAUCUUACAUGUUGACGAGAAUACUUAGGUAGUACAUUUUAGGUUCCUACAGCUACCGGAUUGGAGAGUUAAACUUAAACCAUUGGAAAGAAAAUCUAGAACUUACAAUUCUUCUGCCGUAGAGGAAAAUAGUUAGGCAGUGCAUUUUAGGUUCCCCAUAACUAAUGAUUUCUACUUUCUAUGCUUUCGUAGAAUGGAAAUACUUCUCUGGCAGAACAACAUAGAUGGAGCAAUGGAUAAAAUGUUCUUCUUAACUGAGCCAUCUUCCUGGUGCUCCAGAAUAUAUAUGUUAAGUUUUUGAAGUCAAUGACAGUAGGAUGACACAUGGUUUCAAUACUGAAAUAGAUAGCUUUUGAGAUAAAUCCGCCAUUUGUUUACACCACGAUAUGCACCUCUUCUAUAUGAGAAAAUAUUACUGAGUGGGUUUAUAGUUGUUCUUCCCAAAGUAAGCAUGGUUAGCAUCUCAUGAUUGCUUAAUUCUCCACUGAUUAUGUUGAUUUGUAAUUUAUCUUAAAAGGAGAUUCUGAUUUGUAUUGUUGCACUAUGUACCUUAGUUUUUGCGUUAUCUUUUCACAAGUUCAGUUCAGAUGAUAAUAUUGACAUAUUUUCCUUCAUAAAUGAGCUUCGCCAAAUUCAUCCCAGGUUCCCAACAACUUAAAUAAGCUGCUCGAAAGCAUCCUGACGGAUCAACCGAAGAAAGAAGUCACAAAUCGCAACAAACUUUAUGCGGCUUAAUCGGUUAUCAGAGAAGUAAAUUCUGAAAGGAGAGCGAUCAAAGCUGAAAAUACCAUUAGCAGGUAUUAUCUAUGGUUCCUGGAGUUUUUGUGAUACAGUAAAGUGGUCUGAUUAUUUUAGUAAUGGCAAUGCUGAGACUGUAGGCUUCCCUGUCGAUCAUAGGUAGUCUGCACUGUACUCCAACUUUUUUUUGAACUUCUGUAUUGGAGUAUUUUGUAAUGACACACUUUGUUUGUGCAAAUGUCGUGCUAUAAUUAUCGUGUGUCUCUCUUAUCUAGAAACCUCAACUUUCUCCAUGUAUGGAUUCUUGGUAAGUUAAUGAAGUUGUUGCUUGCAAGGCUUA